AUAGUGGAGGGAAAUGCUACAUUUCCUAGCGAAUCGUGAAGCAGUAAAUAAUUCAACAUUCUUCCUUUAAUAUUUGAAACGAAAGCAGUAUCGCUGCUCAGUUUAUCUUGCUGGCGGAAGUUCCAUAAUAUCAAAUAGAUACAAAUUCGUAUCCUAAAAAAAACAUAAUUUACUCGAAAAUUUUUUUCGUUUCGUUUUAAACAUUUAGUGGCAAAAAUGGCUAUCAAUCCAAUGAAGUGGAAAACCAGAAAUAUACUGUACACUAGUUUGACACUUUUAAUUUUCUACGUACUUUUUGUGUAUAAAAAGAAACAUCAUAUAUUGUUCGAAGAAAUAAUAAAAGAUUCAAAUCCUGUACAUGUUUGGGAAUACGUAGCUGAUUUUAGUAAUAUGAAGACGUUAAAUCCGACAAUAGAAGAUUUUAAUAUUAUUGCGGAAAGUGGUAAUUACGAUCAUUGGAAAUAUUCAGUUGAGUAUACUGAACAUUUGAGUCACAUACCAAUUAUACGAAAUACAGCGCAUGGACAUUACGCCAUACGUGAAGAUAAUAAUGGUUAUUUGAUUACUUCGAAACAUGAAACAUGUUUCUUUGCCAAACUUGGAUGCUUGGAAUCGAUCUCGCAAUUCAGAUUCGAUCGAGAUGGAGCAACAGAUACGAAAUGUAUCGAAACCGUACAAUAUGAAUGUCCAAUCGCAUUUUCAUUAUUGUGUUAUAAAGAAGUUAUGUAUCAACGAACAGAGAUUAUGGAAAGAUUGAAAUUGAAAUUCUCAAAAACUAAAAUCCCUUAAAAAUGUUAUUAAAAUACGUAUUAUUCAUGUUACUUCUUUUUAAAUUUAUCAUCUAUUUAUGUAACGUUUUAUACGAAAAUAUAAUUUUUAUAUAAAACUUUUUGAAUAAUAUUUUAUAUACAGCGCUAUUUGUCUAUAUUUAGUAUGACCAACAUUAAAAUGUAAAAUCUCCGAUAAUAAAGUGACAAAAAAGAAGAUAGAGGGAGAGAGCAACAAUUUAUCGAAAACGUAUACAUGAGAGAAUCUGUGAAAAGGAAACAGAAAUUGAGAAGUCUUUGUAUUUUUAUUUGUAUUUAUUGAAAUAUAUCUCACUCAUAGCAUUUAGUCAAUAAAUUUAUAAUACAGCGUGAAACAUGUCUAAUAAAUUUGAGGCGUAAGUGAAACUAGUGUUCUUAUUUCGUCGUGCCUUUUUCUAUGGGUUAGAUAGAGUACUUGCAGAUUAAAGGCUAAUGAAGAUAAUGCAGAUAAUGAAACACAAUCAAAAGAUAAUAAAAAAACUGA